AAGGAAAACCGGCUUGGGGUACUUUCACACUUGCGGCAGGAUGGAUCCGGCAGGCUGUUCACCGUGUCGGAUAUGUCCUUCCGCUGUUUUGUUGGACCACCGCUCCGUCCCCA